rnacentral:rRNA from 1 species
UACGUAGGGACCAAGCGUUGUUCGGAUUUACUGGGCGUAAAGGGCGCGUAGGCGGCAUGACAAGUCACUUGUGAAAUCUCCGGGCUUAACUCGGAACGGCCAAGUGAUACUGUCGCGCUAGAGUGCAGAAAGGGCAAUCGGAAUUCUUGGUGUAGCGGUGAAAUGCGUAGAUAUCAAGAGGAACACCUGAGGCGAAGGCGGGUUGCUAGGCUGACACUGACGCUGAGUGCGCGAAAGCCAGGGGAGCAAACGGG